UAUUGUGACAAAAAAAAAUAAGGCGUGUAUUUGUAUAAUUUUAAGCGGUAGCAGCCAAAUUUCAAAUUGGAGAUUGCAGAUUGCAAAUUUCAAAUUAGGCCUGUUGUGCUGCUGCAAGUUAGAAUUUCAUUGUUCGUUUUCAGGAUACAUGACAACAAAACACUCUUGACCCUUUCACUAGAUAAUUGUUACUGGUGAGAGUAGACCUUAUUGUGGCAUGCGAUUGCCACAUUAAUCUGUAUCAAGCGAGCAAACCAAGUUCGAUGAAGAUCUGAAGAUAGACACAAUGCUCAACGGGUCAGGCAGUACCGCGGAGAAAAGGGAUGGGUGACGUUUCGGGUCGGGACCCUUCUUCAGGCUGACUCCUAGUCUGGAGCAGAAGGGUCCUGCCCCGAAAUGUCACCCAUCCGUGUUCUCCAGAGAUGCUGCCUGACCCGCUGUUACUCCAGCACGUUGUGCCUAUCUUUGGUACAAACCAACAUCUGCAGUUCUAAACCAACAAUCCACAUUUCGAGGAAGAUCUAAUCCGGUCAAGACUACUCAUUUAGUUAAUUACGUUAAUUUUUCUGACACAAACACUGCAGCAAGGAUAACUUUUUUUUUUGCACUAAUCACGUUCGAGAGACGUGUAGGAAGGAAGUGCAGAUGCCGGUUGCCACCGUAGACACAAAAUGCGGGACAGGCAGAAUCUCCGGGUAGAAGGAAUGGCCGGGUGACGUAUCGGGUCGAGACCCUUCUUCAGGAACGUCACCCAUUCCCACUAUCCGGAGAUACUGCCUGACCCGCCGAGUUACUCCAGCAUUUUAUGUCUAUCACAUGAGAGACACUUCAGGUGAUUCCGGUACUAUUAAAGCGUGAAGGAUCGCAGUUAGUAUUUAGUGAUCCAGAUCUAGGGAUGCUGCCUGGCCCGCUGAGUUACUGGGGUUUGUGGCAUUUAGGGAGCGUUUGAUACAGAUUAAUUCUGGGACAGGCAGUGUCGGGCUGGGGCUGGGGCCGGCGCCGCCCCUCCUCGCUGGCUGCGGGCCUGGGCCGACACUCCCGCGUGCGGGCGUCUGGAGAGAAGACCCUCCUUCACUUCCGACACAUUAGACUUUUGCGCCGUGGUUGGGAUGGGCCACUCUCACAAAAUGCCAGCGUACGACAAGGACGAGGGAAUUAGAAAGUCUUGCUGUUCUUUUAAGCAUAGGCUGGGAUUCGACAACUUCGCUUGAAGCCGCGCCGUCCCAGGAAGAACAUUUUGAAAAGCACUCGAUUGAACAACGCGAGGGGAACACUUGCCAAGAGACUGACCAGUUUGGCACAAGAGAACGUGAAGAGCAAUAAUUGCAAAACAGAUUGCCCAACCAACAGAUGUAGACGGUAUCUGUCGGGAAAGGAGAAACAAAAGCCUUCUGAAUGAAACAUGGGGGGGAAUGGGUUCAAAUAGAUCAUAACGAAAAUUAGACAGUGUGCCAAAUUACCCAAUCGGAAAACCGAUGCCAGGACAUGGAUUUCCAUUCCGAUGCAAACGUACUUCAAAUCUAGGUUGUGUAGGAAGGAACUUCAGGUGAUGGUGUAUAUCGAAGAUAAGCAUUCUGCGUCUAUCUUCGGUUAAAAUCCGGGUUAUGGGUUUACACGAAUUAUUCUCGCAACACAAGGAACAGCGGAUAUUGUUUGUCAAACAAUUAGUAAACGUUUAGUUUAUUUGUCAUUUGGGGAUUCUGUGCUGUUUUGCACGUGCAUUGGUAUAUACAAUAUUCAUAGAAUUGAUGGGGAUGUCUUUCACAUAUCAAUGCGGUGUACACAUUGUCCAUGGCGUGUGCGAAUAUUGCACUGUAGUUAUCUGUAAAACAUCUGAAUAAACCAAGUGCAUCUAAAUUAUUUUUCAACCAUUUCAUAGAGCACGGAUAACUGAAACAUCAACCCCCAUCUCCGAAAAGUGAAACCUGUGCAAUUUAUUUUUGCCACCCACAGCGAUGCACCUUGUUCGUUUCUUCCAUUUCACAAUUGUUAGGAGGCGAUAUUGCAAAACAAUAGUUCGCUUCUUGCAUUUAAUGUCAAUCUAUGUUGAAAUUGCCGUGUCUGUCACGUUAAAAACACCACACACACAAUAGCUGGCCAAAGAGAUCCGAAGUGCCCCAAUAAUGUGAACAUUCCUUUGAUAGCGUGGUCAUUUUCUGGAAAGCUCCGGAGGUGAUGAUGAAAGGUAGCUUUCUUCCAGUGGCUUGUUUUGGUUCGGGAUUCAAGCUGACACAAUAGUGCACGGUCUAACAGGGAAUGAAAUCUCAGUUUGAUAGUCAUGCUGCAGAGGUAUUGCGAUGAAAUGCAAUUUAACAUCCAAAACCAAUUCUGUGUCGGAAACACAGAACUAAUCGUCGCCGCCCUGCAGCCCACUUGAGCAGGAGCCUUGAAGAAAACUCAGGCGGAAACUUUUGAAUCAGUUUUCACUCGUUUACUUUUCCCGACGUAGCGAAUUUGAGAUUUGGGCAUGUUAUAUCUAUAUUGAAUGUUGACUUUUCAAUUUCACAUAUCACUGCCAAACUUAAAGUGAUGCAUUGAAAGUAUUGGUUAUGUUUUAGGCACCAGAUCUCGUUUCGAAACGCUUGGAUUAGGAAGUUAGUUAACAAAUGAUAUGUGCAAAUCGAAUUACUGUUCUUCGUCAUAAUCAAAGUGAUACUUUUCAGAGAGACUAGAAGGCGAAUAACAUGACUCCCAUCACCCUACUAACAUUAUACAAUUUCAAAUCUUAUGUCAAUGUUAACACCCUAGUAACAUAAAACAGUUUCAAACUGAUACUGUACCUAGUGUUAACAUUCAGUUCUUAGUUUUCAAUGAAGACUUUAACCAUUAGUAGUCCAUUAGCGAAGUGUUUCUAUUGAUUUUUUAAAUGAACUCUCAGGCUAAUCCCAACAUUGCAAUAUGACACUCCAAGGGAUGAAUUCAGGUCUCAGAAUUAUUAGUUGAUGGAAAUGUGGGAAAGGGAAUUUUUUUAAAUACUGAGACUUUACAUUCCACGUGUACACGCCUUAGACAUUUCUAAGCAGAGGACACAGAUCUGUGAAACCUUAAUUUAGUGAUCUCGUUUUACUUUGGUCGUUUCAAGUUACAGUAAAAACACAUUGAACACUAAAGAUUGGUUGGGAUUGAACAGGUUGGGAAUUUUAUUACACAAAAUACAUUAUAUAAUGACAUUGUUUCCAUAAUAGGGCGAAGGGAAAACACCACCGAUCACAAAUCUUGAAGGUGGCACAGUAUCACACUUUGUGUGGUGUGACGGUCAGGAAGUUUUCUUGACAAUGAUCACAAUUAAUUUGCUAUUUCUCGUCGUUGGUCACAGUGACUGCUCGGACCUCACAGAUACAAACGGGGAGAACUCAGAACAAACCUCAAAAUGACGAGCCGUCCGUUAUUGGCUCACUUGACAGGGGAAAAAACGACCCUAUUAUCUGUCACAUUACCUUCAAAAUGAGCUAAUAUCAUUCUUUGCUUUGGAGCUGAAAUAAGCAGUGGGGUACCAGAAGUGGUCACAAAAAAACUAUUUUGAUUGCAUAACAGUGGUCUCUCUUUUUUUUUGCUUGCGCUGAUUCGCAUACAAUGACGAAGGACAUUGAACUUAACCAUAGAACAUCGAGAUGUUGCUUGUUAAUGCCUGUCAGGUUUACUAAACACAUCUUUUCAUUCAUUAUGAACACGAAUUUAACGCACCGCGGCCGUGUUCUGUGGCCUUUUAUUUCAGUCCGGUUACAUUUCCAGUGAAUGGCAAGGAAGUGUAAAAUUCUGCCUGCGAUAAUUAAACUGUUGCUGUCUCAAAUAAACUGUCGAUAUUUAACCAUGAUAGACGCCAUGGAUGUUGAUUUAACAUACGAUCAUAUGGUGGUUACAUUCAUGGCGAUUUGCGUUAUUCCAGGUAUUAAUGCAGUAAUUACUUUAUAAACACUUGAUCCCAAAUCCCUUUAUAAUAUUAUCCACCACUCAUUAUAAACAGCGACAUAGAUAAGAACACGGCUUAUUGUAUGAAACAGCUACGAAAGUAACUCAAACUGAAAUCUGUAAAAUAAAACACGUCAUAUUAACUUUAAUUCACCAAUUUACCAUACAAUAUGUAUUUUGAGCAGACUCUACGAUCGGAGCUCUCAAACGCCAAAAUUAUCGAG